UCCCUGGUGGUCCAGUGGCUAAGACUCCAAGCUCUCAAUGCAGGGGGCCCCGGGUUUGAUCCCCGGUCAGGGAA
rfam:TPA: Bos taurus chromosome 11, whole genome shotgun sequence.